AUCUAGCUGAGGAACCCCAGAUAGGAUGAAACACAGGUCCUGGAU
rnacentral:hammerhead_ribozyme from 1 species